UACAGAGGUCUCAAGCGUUGUUCGGAUUCAUUGGGCGUAAAGGGCGUGUAGGCGGGAAUGUAAGUCGGGCGUGAAAUCCCUAGGCUCAACCUAGGAACUGCACUCGAAACUGCGUUUCUUGAGUAUCGGAGAGGAAAGCGGAAUACCUGGUGUAGAGGUGAAAUUCGUAGAUAUCUGUAGGAACACCCGUGGCGAAGGCGGCUCGCUGGACCGCAACUGACGCUGAGGAACGAAAGCUAGGGGAGCAAACAGG
rnacentral:rRNA from 1 species